ACCAGGACAGAGCCUGGGAACCUGAUUUCUCUCCUGAGCGUUGGGAUAUGGAUGCAGAUAUCAUCAUGGACCGUCCCAAUGCUGAAAGCCAUUUGUUGACUUCAAGAGGAAUGACAACCACGUCCACUUAAGGAGUCUUAUCUUUUGGGAGAAGUCUUAAGACCAGGAACUUCUAAUGCUUGAUUGUCACCAGUGCAGAGAAUUACAGAGUGGGUAGGAAUUGAGCCUCAUUCCUUCGGAACCUGAAUGAGAAAUGGCUCUCCUAAGGAACCUGGAUGACACUACUGAAGGAGAGAAGAAACACAUAUUUUCUUUGGGUAAUGAACUCAAUAGGUCACAGUGAAAGACGUUUCUCAGAGGAAGUAUCAAUGCUAUUGCUAAUAUUCCUUCCCGAAGCCUUCUGAGUCAUGCUAUUGAAAAGAACAUCUGCCUCUUAUUGUCCAGUUUGUUGUUCUAGAGCGUGUCAGAAUUUAACAUCAUUUCCUUUGCACGCUUGUUUUGGUUUUAAGUUUGUUUGCUGAUCCAUAUGCUGCCUUGUUCACUCCUGUGAAUGUCUCCCAGCAUUUUCCAGAAGCAUCAGAAACACCCAGAUUCUAAUAGCAAUGCUAACCCACACCGAGCUCACCACAUGCUGUUGUGUUGGCUUCA
rnacentral:lncRNA from 1 species